rnacentral:snRNA from 1 species
UUGCUUUGGCAGCAUGUAUACUAAAAUUGAAAUGAUACAGAGAAGAUUAGCAUGGCCCGUGCACAAGGAUGACAUGGAAAUUUGUGAAGCAUUCCAUAUUUUU